rnacentral:rRNA from 1 species
CCUACGGGUGGCAGCAGUGGGGGAUAUUGGACAAUGGUGGGAACCCUGAUCCAGCGACGCCGCGUGAGUGAAGAAGUAUUUCGGUAUGUAAAGCUCUGUCAGCAGGGAAGAAAGAAAUGACGGUACCUGACCAAGAAGCCCCGGCUAACUACGUGCCAGCAGCCGCGGUAAUACGUAGGGGGCAAGCGUUAUCCGGAAUUACUGGGUGUAAAGGUAGCGUAGACGGUUAAGUAAGUCUGGAGUGAAAGGCCGGGGCUCAACCCCGGGACGGCUCUGGAAACUAUUGAACUUGAGUGCAGGAGAGGGAAGCGGAAUUCCUAGUGGAGCGGUGAAAUGCGUAGAUAUUAGGAGGAACACCAGUGGCGAAGGCGGCUUACUGGACUGUAACUGACGUUGAGGCUCGAAAGCGUGGGGAGCAAACAGGAUUAGAUACCCUGGUAGUC